rnacentral:lncRNA from 10 species
GCAAGCCGCUUUAGCUCCUAUCUGGUCCAUGGGGAUAGGUUACAUACCCUUUGCUAGAGAGUGAAGAUGAAUCCCAAUGUCAUUUGGAUCCUGCUUUCAUGGGAUGAUUCAGCUUUCUCAGGCUGAGUCAGGAACCAGUCCUCUGUGUCACAUGCCAUUCUUCUGAUUUUCAUGAAUAUCCUCUAAAAGGCAGCUAAGCACUCGCUGUCUUCUUCCUUUUGCCUCAUCAAGCACGGGGGACGCUGGAAGGAAGAGGUGGGACUGCCAAGAUGAAUAGACAUAAUCCUCGAUCUAACCACUUCACAGUUUAUCAUCGGAGUCAAGUUUGCAGAUAAACAAUUGCCAUGCAACUUUCAAGAGACGGGGUGUCAUCCUGUUGCUCAGGCUGGUCUCAAACUCCUGGCCCUAAGUGAUCCUCCUGCCUCAGCCUCUCAAAGUGCUGGGAUUACGGGUGUGAACCUAAUCGCAGAGAAAAUGGUGCCUGAGAUGAGCAAGGUCAGCAGACAAGAAGUGAGGUCAAUGUCAGGUUUCCAUGCCAGCAGCGGGAACUCUGGAUACAGUGGAGAGUCACAGCUGGUCAAACCCUGAACCGCUUGCUCCUUGAAAUGGCCAGAGAGGCCCAUCCCAGAGCCAUCUCAUCAUCUCUCCUCAGACAGGAAACCGAGAAGGAAAACAAUCAGCUCUGUUCUCUCUGGGCCGAGGGAGUGAGCUGUAAUGAGGGAGCACAGGAACGCAUUGGGCGCCCUCAGACCUGAACACACAGUUGAGAAUAACUCAUCCAGGGUUGUUGAAUGGUGGAGGAUCUUCCAAAAUCAGCAGCUAGGAGGUCGAGAACCCUUCAUGCCAUACUAAGAAGUUUCAUGCUAGGCAAAGAAGAGUGACAAGGUAUUUCAACAGAGGUACACAAAGAAGGAUUACCACAGGAAAUCCAGAGAGGCUUUAGAAGACGAGCUUGCGUUGAGAUAGAAGCCGGAAGCCCACUUAGCCAACUGCCUCCAUGGGACUUGGCAUGAGGCAGGCUUAUGACAGUAAAUGCUACACUGCCCUCAGUGAAAAAGAGAAUUUGGCAUUCAUUCUUCUGAACCCGCCAUCCCUCAGCCUUGGCGCCUGGGAAUUCUGCGAAUCGUUGCCUGUGGCAGUGACACUGAUUUGUAUCUGGGUAUGAACUUAAAUGAAAACAUGAAUUGAACUCAUUACUUGAGGAAGGAAACACUGCCAAAUUUAACAGGAUGAAAUUCCAGCAGGGUGUAAGGUUUUAUGGGGCUACAGUGGAAUAUCUCAUAGAAAGGUUUCCAGUUCAUAAAACACUUUCAAAACAUGCUCGGCCCUUUUAAGUUGAAGGGACAUUAUCAUUUCUAUCUAUGGCAUUUCUCUGCAAAUUGAACUCAAAUAUCCUUUGGGCUGACUACACAGAGAACAGAAGAAAGAAGUGGAAGAAACUUGGACUGAAGAUUGCCUCCCUGAAAAGGUUUUCUUCAGGCAGAAUUAGGAACUGCUUUUGCAAUAAGUAAAGUCAAUGAAGAAAGUAAGAGGAUUGCAAAGGUUUCCCCCGCUGAUUCUGCCAACAGAAAUGUUUUUAUUGUGCUGCUUUGGGCUCAUCAUUUGCACAUUCCCUCAAAGUAACAACACCAUCAUUUCUAGGUCGCUGAUGACACAUGGCUUAACUUGGAAUACCAGCCAGAUUUGCAGAGUCCUAAACUUUAUUGGCUUUUGAACUUGUAGACUACUUUAAGUGCCUCAUUGACCUGCUAACUGUAAAUUCUGUCUAAAUAUUUAUUUUUAAGUCAACAGCAUAGAUAAAAAUAAAAAUGUAUGUAAUAUACAUGUAAACAUAGAGCUGAAGAUAUACCUCAUAUUUUUGAAAUAAAAUAAUGUACAUUUGAAAAUGGUAUUUACUUAAAAAAUGUUUUUCUUCACUUAUUAAUCACAUCUCAGUUUAAAGCAAGUGAAGGAGCACAUUUAAAUUACUUUACUCUUCAUUCUCUUUUGUGUCAUUAUAUAUGCAGGCGUGGAAAAAAAACAGUGAAACAUUUCCAACUACAAUUUAAAGGAAUGCAUGUCAUUUAUUUAAAACAUAAAUCAGCAAACAGAGAGACAUAAAAUUACUAGUGGACUGCUUCAAGUUCAGAAGCCACUGCCCUGGUAGAGGAGUUACCAACGAUCACACAUCCUAUAGGAAUCCAACUACAGUGGCCCUGAGCUGAAACAGCAUGCGUUCCAUGCUCCUUUGCAUAAUUUGCCUACUUCUUCUCAUAUUUUGUAAAUAUAAAAUCUACUUCUGGUGUUAACUGAGCUUUGUCUCAUUACUUAUUAUUUUAUUACUCAUAUGAUUGUCGAAUGAAGAUGUCUUUGAGGGAUAGACUUUGUGAACUCUUCUUUUGUUAAGAAAAAAAGCGAUCCAUCUGGAAUGACGGGCCCUAGUAUAAGAAAAUCAACAUGAUCUCCUUUAAGUUUACCCUUCCCUGCCACUUGGGAAGCGCAGUCAGGCGCACAGGGAACAGAACUUUGGGGCAACUGCAAUAAACUCUCCAGCCAAGCUCCUUUACCAGGGGGACAAAACAGUUCACUGCAGCUCCAGCUUUGAUGAACUUUAUACUCGGAAUACUUUACUGCUUGAUUAAAAAUGUGCUCAUGCUUAAAGGCAGAUUGCCGAUGGGGUUUAUAAUCAGGCACAAAUACACGAAGAGAUUUAUUAGAGGUACUUUAUGUAACCAUUUUUCGGGAAAGUGAUUUUGUUUGAGAAGUUACUAGAGGCUGAAAUGACAGCUUCUCUGUAACUCUGGUAAGUUUUCUGAAUCAGUUCAUGUGGAAAUCAAAUUGCACCUGAGCAAAUAUUGAAGGGUGUAGCAAAAGGAAGGAAUAGCUUUCAUUUUGCAACCACAAAUAUUACAAUAG